GCACUGCUGACGAGUCCCAAACAGGGCGAAAAAGCUGUCCAGUGC
rfam:Echinostoma caproni strain Egypt genome assembly, scaffold: ECPE_scaffold0001509